UGAUGAGAUGCCUGGAGGUGAGGCCC
rnacentral:piRNA from 1 species